GAUGAAGAACGCAGCGAAAUGCGAUACGUAAUGUGAAUUGCAGAAUUCAGUGAAUUAUCGAGUCUUUGAACGCACAUUGCGCCCUUUGGUAUUCCAAAGGGCAUGCCUGUUCGAGCGUCAUUUGUACCCUCAAGCUUUGCUUGGUGUUGGGCGUUUUUGUCUUUGGCCCGCCAAAGACUCGCCUUAAAAUGAUUGGCAGCCGGCCUACUGGUUUCGCAGCGCAGCACAUUUUUGCGCUUGCAAUCAGCAAAAGAGGACGGCAAUCCAUCAAGACUCCUUCUCACGUUUGACCUCGGAUCAGGUAGGGAUACCCGCUGAACUUAAGCAUAUCAAUAAGCGGAGGA
rnacentral:misc_RNA from 1 species